rnacentral:rRNA from 1 species
UACGUAGGUGGCAAGCGUUGUCCGGAUUUAUUGGGCGUAAAGCGCGCGCAGGCGGUCCUUUAAGUCUGAUGUGAAAUCUUGCGGCUCAACCGCAAGCGGUCAUUGGAAACUGGGGGACUUGAGUACAGAAGAGGAAAGUGGAAUUCCACGUGUAGCGGUGAAAUGCGUAGAUAUUAGGAAGAACACCAGUGGCGAAGGCGGCUCACUGGCCCGGUACUGACGCUGAGGCGCGAAAGCGUGGGGAGCAAACAGG